rnacentral:rRNA from 1 species
UACGAAGGGGGCUAGCGUUGCUCGGAAUCACUGGGCGUAAAGGGCGCGUAGGCGGCCAGUGCAAGUCAGUUGUGAAAUCUCCGAGCUUAACUCGGAAAGGUCAACUGAUACUGCUCGGCUAGAGUGCGGAAGGGGCAACUGGAAUUCUUGGUGUAGCGGUGAAAUGCGUAGAUAUCAAGAGGAACACCUGCGGCGAAGGCGGGUUGCUGGGCCGACACUGACGCUGAUGCGCGAAAGCUAGGGGAGCGAACGGG